UUUGGAUUGGGGUGAAUACGAACGAAAUAGAUGAGAUGGUGAGGUUAAUCGGGUGUAAAGCGGAAGUGUUCCCAUUCAAGUACUUAGGAUUGACGGUUGGGGCGAAUAUGAAUCGGAUAGCGAAUUGGAGGCCGGUGUAUGGUAUCUUCGAGAAGCGGUUGUCGUUAUGGAAAGCUUCGUUUCUUUCUAUAGGUGGAAGAGUCACGUUGAUUCGUUCUGUUCUCGAGAGCCUCCCAACGUACUUCUUUUCGCUUUACCGUGCUCCGGCCAAAGUUGUGGAGGAUUUAGAAGGUAUUAUCAGAAAAUUUCUUUAGGGAGGUACGUCUUCUGUCAAAAAACUUCAUUGGGUUGCUUGGGAUAGGGUGGCGUCCCCGAAAAAAAUGGGAGGUAUUGGUAUUCGUAACCUUAAAGAGGUUAACAUUGCCUUGCUUUCUAAGUGGGGUUGGAGGUUUAAGACGGAGAAGGACAAUCUUUGGGUCAAAGUGAUAAGUGCCAUUCAUUCGGGUGGUUCCAAUUGUGUAACACCCCGAAUUACGUAUGUCGCAAAAUAAUAUUAAAAUUUUAUUGUUUAGAUAAUAAGACGUGGUAAAUAUAGAUUUACUUUACCAUUUUCUAAGUUUUUACAAGUUAUGGAAAAUCUAAAACUUAUGUGCACAUAAAGUUAAUCAAGUUAGUAUGUAAAAAUGAAAGAAAUGACAUGUCCUAAAAGUAUGAGGGGUUAAUAGUGAAAAUGUUAUAAAUUAAACAUGGAACAAAAAAUUAGUCAGUGUUUUGUUGUGGGGUGCGAUCGAGAGAAAGGGGGAAGAGAAGAACAAAAACCCUAGCAUCACAAAUCCUUCAAAUUGAAAAGGGAAACUGGCUCAAAUCGAAUGCAUGGACCUAGAUUCUUGAUCAUCUAGACUUUCUACACAUGAUGUAAGUUGUAGAAGUUAAUUUUAUGAUUUGGUAUGAAGUGAGACUAUGAUCAAUCCACGAAAUUUACUGAAAUUAAGUAUGAAUAUAUGUUAGAAUUAUCAUUGGAAAUGUGAAUUAUACAAGAUUUGAUGCUAAUUGAGGUUUGGAGAUGAAACCUACUUGAAUUAGUAGAAAUGGCGACAUGGGUAUGUAACCCAUGUCCAACCUUUGUUUGAUUCUUGAUAUGAUGUGUUGCAUGUGACCAAAUUGUUAGUUAUAUUGAACAUGGCAUGAAAUUGAAUUGUUAUUGGUAUUUUGGAUGAUUGAAAACAAGAACUAGGAAGAAAAGAAUGAAGGUUACUUGUACAUUAUGUUUAGAAACUUGUACGCAUGCCAAGUGUUUGAUGAAAUGACUAGGUGAAUUUAGAAGGUGAAAUAGUAUGCAAGAAAGUGGUAAUUAGAUAUGGAAUGUGAUAAAGAGGUGUUUAUUAGUAAAUUAACAUGAGAAUUGAGUUUAGAUAUAGUUCAUUGCUAAGUAUGGAUUAUGGUGCAAAUGUAGAAUUAUGGAGGUUUCAAGUAUGGUGUGUACACGUAAACAAGUGAUCAUGCGAUUAAAUGAGCAUCUCACCAUGAGUGUACCACAUGCUGUUGAAAUGAUUAAUGGAAGUCGAAUGUGAAUUGUGAAUUAAUAUGGUUGUUCUCAUGUAUAAUUUCAUAUGCUAACAAGAAUGUGCGUGUAAUGAAACGAAAGUAUGUGUGAGUAAUUAUGUAUGCGUGUAUGAUUAUAUGAUUAUGUGGUUGUAAGUACAUUUGCAUCAUACGUAUGAAAUAUAUACAUAGUGUCAUAUGUAUAGCUUAAUAUGAUGUAACGAAUAUAUGGGGUUAAGUCGGAAGUUUAUACAUUAAACCGUUGACUUUUGGAAGUCAACUACACAUAAGGGGCAUAGCUAGAAUUUUGACACAAUUAUAAGAUCUUGGAACGUCAUAUGGUAUGUGUUAAAUUAAUAUGCGUUUUAUGCGUUAACAUGAUGGAUUGUAUGAGUUUGAAAAGAUGUGAUUUGGGCGUAUGCCUUAUGUUUGUUAGACUUGACUAUGAAAGCUAAUUGCGAGUUAUGCAUUCGACACGAUCAUUUAUAUGUAAAAUCGUGUAUACUAACAAGGAUGUGAUUGCGGUGACACGAAAGCAUUAGGGAUCAUGUGGAAAUGGACUCAAGCAAGAAAGACUAACGGGUCAAGAGGAGAUAAGGAAGCGAAUGCGAAGACGGACGCUCAAGGUACGAGAAUGUCGGCUUAGUUCGAGUUGAGAUCAAGGAUUGUACGGGGUAGAAAGGUCACAUAGUCUGACUCAUAUAGGUCUUGAAGUAUUAAUGUUAUAAAAAGUUGUAAAUCCGUUUUAAUGAUUAUAUGGCAUUUCGUACUCGAACCUUCAUGUGAUCGAUAUGCUUAAUUAAGAACGAAAUUUUUGG
rnacentral:lncRNA from 1 species